GAAUCACCUUUCCACGUUCGUUAACUUAAGAAGUUAACCUGGAACAAGAAUUCUCCAUCAUCUUGUCACCUUGCAGAGCUUUCUGUGAAUGAAGGAAAGCCUGGACUCUAGCGGAUCAGUAAGGUUGUCCUCAUGUUCUAUACAGAAUUUGCUAAGAUCCCU
rnacentral:lncRNA from 1 species